GCCCUUUUUCUGUUGUACUACUGGAAUUUGUAAUUAGCAGUGCAAUAUUAAAAGGGCAU
rnacentral:pre_miRNA from 2 species